AGGAGUGAGCAGUGUUACGAGGCAGACACGUCAUGAUCGCGGUACGAGAGGUCGACAUGUUUUCGCUGACGCUGUAAUGUAAGACAGCGGUGCACGGUCAGAUUAAGUUUGGUGGGUUUAGUGUACAUUAACAUUGUUGUGUGAGACUGGAGACGAGGUUAAAGCAGAAGUUCGGUCGAUUGCGUCAUCGGACAGAGAACGGUGUUGGAGACUGGCUGGGAACGCGAGAGAGAGAGUCGUUGGAGCCGUUUUUGAAAAGCAUCGAGACGACUGCUACAAAGCAAGUUGGAUCAUCUUGUCUGGACUCUACAGAACAUACUACAGCCCAUGUAUUGCUGUUUUAUUCACCUCUGUUUUUCUGUUUUUAUCUGUGAUAAAGAGUGUGUAACAGUGUUCUCCAGGUGUUGAAUAAAAAGAAUGGCUAAA